CAGUAGCCGCGGUAAUACGUAGGGUGCAAGCGUUAAUCGGAAUUACUGGGCGUAAAGCGUGCGCAGGCGGUUAUAUAAGACAGAUGUGAAAUCCCCGGGCUCAACCUGGGAACUGCAUUUGUGACUGUAUAGCUAGAGUACGGCAGAGGGGGAUGGAAUUCCGCGUGUAGCAGUGAAAUGCGUAGAUAUGCGGAGGAACACCGAUGGCGAAGGCAAUCCCCUGGGCCUGUACUGACGCUCAUGCACGAAAGCGUGGGGAGCAAACAGGAUUAGAUACCCUAGUAGUCCCUGUCUCUUAUAA
rnacentral:rRNA from 1 species